rnacentral:rRNA from 1 species
GAUGAACGCUGGCGGCGUGCCUAAUACAUGCAAGUCGAGCGAACAGACGAGGAGCUUGCUCCCCUGACGUUAGCGGCGGACGGGGGAGUAACCCGUGGAUAACCUCCCUAUAAGACUGGGAUAACUUCGGGAAACCGGAGCUCAUACCGGCUAAUUUAAUGAACCUCCAGGCUCAAUAGUGAAAGACGGUUUUGCUGUCCCUUAUACAUUGAUCCGCGCCGCAUUAGCUAGUUGGUAAGGUAACGGCUUACCAAGGCAACGAUGCGUAGCCGACCUGAGAGGGUGAUCGGCCACACUGGAACUGAGACACGGUCCAGACUCCUACGGGAGGCAGCAGUAGGGAAUCUUCCGCAAUGGGCGAAAGCCUGACGGAGCAACGCCGCGUGAGUGAUGAAGGUCUUCGGAUCGUAAAACUCUGUUAUUAGGGAAGAACAAAUGUGUAAGUAACUAUGCACGUCUUGACGGUACCUAAUCAGAAAGCCACGGCUAACUACGUGCCAGCCGCCGCCGUAA